UGCUUUGCCGCAGAUCAUCAUGGACCCGCAAAGGUGAACUGUUGGUCGGACCCAAUGAGCCCAUCUAGAUGGAAGGAAGAGCAUUUUGUGAUUGUCUCUUUAGCUGGAUGGGGUUCAGCUAUUUACGGUGGUUACAAAUUCUUCUCUGGAGGCAAGAAAGGAACUGAAGAGAAAGUGGCUGAAGCAACUCUGCAGAAAGUGGUUGAAGCAUCUCACUAGGCUGGGUCCAGAAUUUUGUUUCUGUUGUGGUCGUUCUUAAGUUCACCUCCAAAUAAGUUUACCGAAAACAUCAGAUCCUCUGUGGGGACUAUAUUUUUCUUUUGUUUUGAGAUAAUCCAGUUUGUGAGUAUUUUUAUUUGCGAACCCUCCUGGAUAAUGUUAGGAUUGAUAUUCAUUUUGUUCCAUUCGUCGUUCCGAUGAAUUGGUCCU